AAUAAGCACAUCCAUGAGUUUUCGUGUCUAAUUUUGAUCGUAUGUCUUAUUUAAAAUUUUUUAUAACUAGUAUUUUUAUUGUUAUUAGAAUAUAAACCUAAAUAGUACUUUAUACGUGACAUAUUUUUUAGUUUUUUAAAAAAAAUUAAAUAAGACGGACGAUUAAAGUUGAGCACAGAAACUCAUGGCUACGCUUAUU
rfam:Oryza nivara chromosome 2, whole genome shotgun sequence.